GGUGGUACCACUCCUUCCCAUCCCGAACAGGACAGUGAAACGCCUCAGCGCCGAUGAUAGUGCGGAUUCCCGUGUGAAAGUAGGUCAUCAUCAGGC
rnacentral:rRNA from 1 species